UUCCAUGUUAACAGAGUCUCCUAUUUACAAGGAGUUGUUAGAUGAUUUACAUCAUCUAUGAAUAAUAAAGAGACAAAUUUUGAUAUUUAAAAAAUAAUAAAUUCAAGAAUCGAAUAAUUCUACACCGCAAUAAAGUAAGACUCGACUCAAAGACGAAUCUUUUGUACCUUGAAUUGAUACCUUCGGGGAAAAACGGCUAGAUAUUGACAAGACCCUGUACAGAGCAGGCCGUGGGAGCUUGGGGAGAAUAUGCGAGGUUUUGGGAACUGGGUGUGUGUGGUCAGGCGUGGACUGCGAAGGAGAGUUCGCUAUUCCUCGUAUAGAUCUCCUCAGUAUCCUUCUGUCCUCGGUCCCAACCUUCCCGACGUUUGGAUUCCCAGCACCAACACCCACCGUCCUCAAUCCUCUGCAAUUUUCCCCAAGGGUCAGACUGCUGCGAUAAUCGAUGGGAAGUCCAUUGCACAUGACAUAAAGUCCAGAAUAGCCGGUGAAAUACUCAGAACGAAGGCAGUCACUGGAAAAUGUCCUGGAUUGGCUGUUAUUUUGGUGGGUAAAAGGAGGGACUCGAGGACUUUCAUUAAUAUAAAGCUAAAAGCUUGUGAAGAAGUUGGAAUUGCAACUCUGAUUGCGGAACUGCCCGAAACCUGCACAGAAAGUGAACUUCUUAAUGUUGUCUCAGGUUUCAACGAGGACCCGUCUAUACACGGUAUCAUCGUGCAACUUCCUUUGCCACAACAUUUAGACGAGGAAAAAGUUAUGACUGUUGUGAGUCCAGAAAAAGACGUGGAUGGCUUUCAUCCCCUCAAUAUGGGUAAUCUUGCAAGGAGAGGAAGGGAGCCCCUGUUCGUCCCUUGUGCCCCUAAGGGUUGCCUUGAGCUAUUGCUUAGGUUAGGUGUGCAAAUCAUUGGAAAAAAAUCCGUGGUAAUUGGGAGAAGCAAGAUCGUUGGAUUGCCUACUUCCUUUCUGUUGCAGAGGCACCAUGCAACGGUCACCACUGUGCACGCAUUCACCAAUAACCCAGAACAGAUAACUUCUAAGGCUGACAUUGUAGUCUCAGAUGUUGGGAUCCCAAACAAGGUCCGAGGCAAUUGGCUAAAGCCGGGAGCAGUUGUAAUCGAUAUGGGAACCAAUCUAGUAAAGGAUAACUGCAAUAUCCAGAUGGAUGGAUGACACCGAGUAACCCUAUCCUUUGAGGCAACAUUAAUGUGUUUUCAUGAGAUUAGUCACAAAUGAGAUACAAGCUUGAAGGAGAAAAAUAACUUGACUUGCAAGUGGACCCGAGUAGUCGCCGUGGAUACCGUGUCACAGGAGAUGUUUGCUAUGAAGAGGCAAUCAAGGUGGUGUCAGCUAUUACACCCGUGCCUGGAGGUGUAGGACCUGUUACAAUCUCAAUGUUCCUCUCUAACACGCUGGAC